GGAGAGGUGGCCGAGUGGUCGAAGGCGCCAGACUCGAAAUCUGGUAGGGUGGUAACGCCCUCGUGGGUUCGACUCCCACCCUCUCCG
rnacentral:tRNA from 1 species